AACCCAUUUUCAAUACUAUCUAGAUUUUCCCAUUCACAACAACAAGAUCUAAAAGCUAUUACUACUAUUUGUUACCAAUUCACAACAACUUUAUCUAAAAGCUAUUACUACUAUUUGUUACCAAUUCUGCUUUUACAAAAAGCACAGCCAAUAGUUAUGCAUCCGCAGAAUUGGUAACUAUAUAUUGCGAAUCAGGUUUUGAGGCUAAUUUGAAUGAGUUGUUGAUAGGUAUAAAUUUGGCUCAAUCACAACUGGUGCUUCUAUAUGGUGUGGGGUGUUGCAGCUAUUAGCCGAGGAUUAAAGCAGAAAGUGGAAUUGAAUGUCAGCAUAAUUUCAAUGAAUGUUGACAGUCCUUAAUAGUAUGGUUUGAAGGCUAUUCACGAACUCUGUUUUCUUUUUCCAUCAUGCAUGAUUUCUGAUGUGUAAAAUAAAUAAAUAAAUGAACUUUCUUUUGCAUUUAUAAAGAUCAACUUCUUUUCUGUUGGGUCCAUGCUUCAAGCUUCUAAGAAAGAAAGCUAUAGUAAAUGGAAAAUGAAGGGGGAAAUUUUAUGAUUAACUUGCCAGCUUUUAGUGCUUUGUUUUUGGUUUGAAUUUCUGUCUAAUGAAGAAAGGAAAAAGGUACUUUGCCUGGUCUUGUUUCCCUUUGUGGCCAUCUAAGGACUUGGUGGCUUUAGCUCACAUCUUGAUUCAUCUCCAGCAGCCUCCUUCACACUUUAAGUGGAUAUAUGUAACUCUAUAUGCUCUUAAUUUUUCUUUCGUUGUGAUCCUCUUUCUCAUCUAAUUAUACAAAUCUUUUGGAUACAUGUUUUUGUCUGUGCAUGCAAGGAUAAGAAAGAGUUUGAAAGUUUGAUUGGAAUAGCAUUUGAACAGUUUUAUUGGCUAUGACAUUUAACAGUUUUCAUUCUGUAAAAUUUGUCUACAAUCUCUUAACACCUGUUACAAUUGUUGGUACUUUUGCAGACCCAAAAAUUGGAAUCAGAAAGCAUUGAUAGCCUCCCUCACACUACUGGAAUUGAAUUAGAUAUUCUUCAGUUUGUUUAUUAAUUAGACAUGCUUUAGAUAUGAGAAACAUGUGAUACUAGAUUUCCUUUGGAUGGUUUUUUCUUCUUCUUUUUUUGGGUCAAAUUUGCAUGGUGUUAGUCAGGAAUUCGGUUUUGGUGAUACUAACAUGAUGCUCCUCUUAAGGUCCUGCAAGAUUUAACUUUAAAACACAUAAAUCUCAAGAAUCAGAAUUAUGAAACUCAUGUUAUUUUGGAUAGAGGAUUGGCGGUCUGAAUAUGCAGUGUUUCUAUAUUGUCUUUGUACCAUUUCCUAAAUCGCCUUGGUUUUUGUGUGCUGCAUUAUUUUAAAUCUCAAUUUAUCUAUCUGUGAACUGUUGAACAAUUGUUGCUGCUGCUUGCAGUUUGUUCCUCUUGGAUUUGUUUUACUGGACAUAAUCAUGUUGCCAAUGUGGCAUUAUAAAAUAAAUACUCCAUAAUUCGGGUAUGAAGUGAUGUAAAUUUUUUUGGAAAUGUAAAGGUUAUAGUUUGCUCAGUGGUUUACUAGAUUUUCAGGAUUCUGUAGUUCAUAUUGAUUUACUUCAACAGUUGUGAUUUGUGAUGAGAAUCAGUUAUCUUAAAAAUUGACGUGAUCGGUGUCACCAAUCAGUGUCAUAUUCUUUCUACAACACAACACAGAGUUUGGUAAUGUUUCAAGUUGGUGGCAUUAGUUAAUAUACAAUGCAUUGCGUUUCCGGCCAGUUUGCCCAUAUAUCUAGAGGAAUAAGGCUUUGAAGAUCAAAUAGUUGAAAAGUUUAUCCUUUCAAUUUUGAGUUGCAUCAAUAUAAGUAUCUUAAUCAUAAUCUAUUCCCAGAACAGUCAAUUGUCUAAUUUCCUUAAAUUAGGAAUUCCAUUAGAGAUUUAAUCUUUGGAAGUCAUAGUUUUAUUUUAUAAUAUAACAAACUUUUCCUUCUGUUAAUAAAUUAAUGUUCCUGCAAAAGCCACUACUUGGCUGGAUUGAACUGCUGAUUUGAUGAUAGACUGGCUGGUCAGAAAAACCAUUAAACUGACCAACAUUUGCAGCAUAGGCAGUAUUGAGGUCAUUGAGAGGCAAAUUCAUUGACAUACCAGGUGCAGAAAUACAACUUGAGCUUGUAGGCAUGUAAUUCGAUGAUGGCAAACACUUCAUUUGUGCAUGAGAUGAACUUGAGUGAAAAGAUGAAGCCUCAAUGUCAUUAUUGAAGCUAUUAUGAGCAACCAUAGUUUUUGGAUCAUUCUGAGAUUUGUUGUUUGAUUGCUGUCUAUAUCUACAGGUGUUAGCACUGUGAUCGACUCUCUUGCAGAUUUGACACUGAAAAAUAGAGGUGGAAGCCGCAAUACCAUUCCUGUAAUACCAUUUGGAAGCACUCUGCCCUGGUUUUUCACAAAUUUGGCAGAUGAUAGGACCCUGAUUUGUAUUGGGAAAUUUUGGCCUGGUAUUGUUGUUCCUGUAAGUGUUGUUGGAGUUUCUGUUGUUGUGAAACUGAGGAUAGCUGCCUUGUCUGUAAUUCGCUGAGUAAGUCCUAUACUUUCCUUUAUUUGGACUGGAAAGUCUAGUCAAGCCUCCAAAUUUUGGGUCUGCAUAUUGCUGUUUUGAGAAAAACUUCCAAUUUGUUGUGCUGCAUAACCAUCAUAGUAAUUAUGAGAGUUGUUCUGCAUCUGCUUUGAACCAUUAUAUACUAUUUGUAUCCCAUUUGUAUUGCCACCAUUUAAUGCAACAAAACCGGAUGGUGACUGAAUAAUCCCAAUAUAUGGAGAUGAAAAAUAACCCUUAGAUGAUGUAAUGUUAGCUACUGAGUUGGCAUUUCCCAUCAUGAUGGUUGGCUUCCAUUUGUGGUCAUCAUAGAAGGCACGUAUCCAACUUAGCUAAUGCUACUCACUGAUAUUUGAUUCAUUCCAGAAAAUGAUGUGCGCAUGAAACCAUUUUGUGAAGUAAAGACCCCUGUGGUGCUUGAGCAUUAAUUAUCAUAAAUGCAAACUGAGGUAUACCGAGACUUGGAUUUGCAGCACCAUUGAGCACAGUAAGGUUACUAUGCACAGGAGAUGGUGACACAGUGCCAGAACAAUUGUAUAAUGUAGGAGCAGUAAUAUGAUUAGUCCAUUGCAUUCCCUGAGAUGGGUUCCCAAUGUUCAAGCCAUUUUGUGCUAACAAAGCUGUGAGUUGUGUCAGUGGUGAAACAUUGCCAUGUGGGAAACAAUUAGAUGAAAGAUUUCCAGCACCACAGUGAGCAAUCAUAGCAGUUGACUGAGACAACGGAGAAGUUUUAUGUUCAAGUUCUAUUUCACACUCUGCAGAUAAUAGCAAGAAUCUAACUGUUCCUAAAUAAACAUUUUUUUGCCUCUUAUAAUCUGCCUUGUAUUACCAUACUGAGUAGGGAGUCCAGCAAGAAUCAAAGCCCUCUUCUUGAUCAGAUAUUUGUACACCAAGCACAGUUGACUGAUCCCUAACACUCUUGAAUUUCAGCAGUUAGUUGACAUUUUUUCUUUUCUUUUUUGUUUAUACUGCUGUAGACUUGGUGUAGUUAGUUCAUCCUUGGUUCAGAUAUAUUGACAUACUUGGAUUAAUCUUGCUUGUGUUGCUGCUGCCGUAUUGCGGAUGGCUUUUUAAAUGGUCCCUGGUUCUCAGUCCUCAUAUUUUCUAGUCUUUGUUGGUCUUUAUUAGCAACUUUCUUCCUAUUGUAUUUGACAUCAUUGAGUUGCUGACUGCAAUUUUUCCUUCUUUGCAGUUGCCAGACUUAUGAAGGUGGUAUAUCUGGGGAACCUGGUUCUGAAGCUCAUGGUGGGAUUAAAUGUGAUCCCUUUCUAGUGAAUUGCAAUUGGAUAUGAAUUUUAUCAACAGAAGCGUAGAAAUGAAGCCACUUUUCCAUGCCAUUGCAUUGAAGCGGUACCAAAUGGUUUUGCAAAUGGAAGUCUCAUUUUGCCCGAUUAAUUUGUUCAUGAGUUUUAUGGUUUUCUGCUGCAAUAUUAACUUUGUAUUGGGAGAGAAUCCAGUUUUUUGAAAACUGUUGUUUCGGGCAUUAGCCAUGAUUAGAUGGCUUGGAUUAGGACUCUGUUAAGCAUAAUAUAUAGUAAAACUUCGGUGGAACAACUUCAACCCUAAAAA